UCUAGAGCAUUUUGGAAGAGCUUUUGAAACGUGAUAUUCACGUGUAAUACGUUAUAGUUUUUUCUCAAAACAAUAAUAUUUUAAUUUAUUUUUUCUUAAUACCAGGUUUCAUACCGUGGAUUUUGGCUCCCGGUUUUUGUUUCUCUGUUUUCUCCUCCAAGUGUUUUCAGGUGUAUUUUUUCAUGGGCAUAGAAGAAAUUGGGUGAAAUUUACUAAUUUUCUCUCGAAUUUUCCGCAACAAUUUUGUUUUCAGGUGUAUUUUUUCAUGGGCGUAGAAGAAUUUGGUGAAUUUACUAAUUAUCUCUCGAAUUCUGCGCAGCAUUUUGUUUUCAGGUUUAUUUUUUCAUGGGCGUAGAAGAAAUUGGGUGAAUUUACUAAUUUUCUCUCGAAUUCUCCGCAGCAUUUUGGUAAGUUUGAUCUACCUGCACUUCAAUUUGAUAUCGAUACUUUGAAUCUAUGAUAAAUGUUGUUUUUGUUGCAGUUUUCAUGUAUUUUUUUUCACUGUUUAAGCAAGUUCAGGGGUAAUUGAAACAAAAUAAAGUUUAGGUGUACAUUGAAUAAAAAGCUUCAAGUUCAGGGGUAAUGAAUACUUUUGCCAAAAAACAACCAAACAUCUUGCUUAUAGUAUCAAUUAACACGCAUGCAUAUUUUUUGGUCUUUUUCCUAGGUAAAAAGAUGAAGUAAAAUCUGAAAAAGUUGAUAUUUAGGCUCUGGACUCGUAGUUUAUUGUUGUCUUCUUUUUCUUGAAUUUUUAGAUGCUAUUCUCUUUCUUCUGAGAAACAGGCCAACUAAACUGACCAGUGCUAUUAAUAUCUUGUGCUACAAAUUAAUGUUGGUGUUUAUAUCAAAGGAUUUACUAAGUUAUUGUUUCAUCCUUUUUGUCUUUGCUAAAAUUAUAACUGAUGAACUCCUUAUGAAUUUGGUGUCAAAUUCUUUACUCUUUUUCUUUUUGAACUAUUAAAUUCGUAUUUGUCAUUACAUUCUCCUAUUUCUCGUGCAAUUGGUUUCUAUAUUUUUGGUCGACAGUUCAGACAAACUCUAUAAAUAUAAUUGGAGACGCAUAUAACAAAAUCAGUCUACUAGUUCUUAUAUUUGAUCGUCGUUAUGAACAUUGGAGGACAAAGGAGAAUAGCUUGAGAAGGAUAUAUAAAAGAGGUUUUAAUAGGUGGAGAGGGGGAGGAGAAUGGGAACGAGAACUGGGAAAUUAGGGGAGUAAUUAUAAGCUUUGGAAUCGAAGGUCACCAACAUGAUCAGGUCUUGGCACUUUUGGUAUUUAUCAUCGGGCAUUCUUGUUCUAUUGCUCAACUUAUUAGUUAUGUUUACUUCCUAUUUUCUUCUUUUGUAUACCUAAAUUUAUUGUAUUUUCUUCGUGGGUCUUUCAGAGAACAUUCUUUCUAUCUUCACGAGUUAGUGGUCGAGUUAGUGGUAAAGCAUGCAUACACUAUAUUCUACUGUGGCUGUGACUCCAUCAAUAUGAUGUUUUAUGUUCAAAUCACCACUAUAAUGUCAUUUCAUAAUGAAUUGCUCUUUUAGUAUUGAAAA